rnacentral:pre_miRNA from 1 species
AUAAUACUCCCUCCGUUCGGAAUUACUUGUCAUCAAAAUGGAUGUGUCUAGAAUUAAAAUACAUCUAGAUACAUCCAUUUCAAUGACAAGUAUUUUCGGACGGAGGGAGUAGUAG